GAAAUAAGUAAUUUCAAAAAUAAGCUUCUAACUUAAUUUUUUAGCGAUGAAAUUUCGUUAUUAUUUCU
rnacentral:tRNA from 1 species